rnacentral:rRNA from 1 species
AACGAACGCUGGCGGCAUGCCUAACACAUGCAAGUCGAACGAGACCUUCGGGUCUAGUGGCGCACGGGUGCGUAACGCGUGGGAAUCUGCCCUGGGGUGCGGAAUAACUCGGAGAAAUCCGUGCUAAUACCGCAUAAUGUCUUCGGACCAAAGAUUUAUCGCCCUGGGAUGAGCCCGCGUAGGAUUAGCUAGUUGGUGGGGUAAAGGCCUACCAAGGCGACGAUCCUUAGCUGGUCUGAGAGGAUGAUCAGCCACACUGGGACUGAGACACGGCCCAGACUCCUACGGGAGGCGGCAGUGGGGAAUAUUGGACAAUGGGCGAAAGCCUGAUCCAGCAAUGCCGCGUGAGUGAUGAAGGCCCUAGGGUUGUAAAGCUCUUUUACCCGGGAUGAUAAUGACAUACCGGGAGAAUAAGCUCCGGCUAAACUCCGUGCCAGCAGCCGCGGU